CCCAGGCCUUGUGCACACCGCCCGUCACAUCAUGAAAGCCGUUUGUACCCGAAGUCGCCCCUCAAAAGGUGCCGAAGGUAUGGAUGGUGAUUGGGAUG
rnacentral:rRNA from 1 species